rnacentral:ncRNA from 1 species
GGGCCGGGUCGUGACUGGCGCGCUUGGGAUGGGACCGACCAUCGGGGAGCGGCCCGAAGGGAAACUGUGCCGUGCGCCUGGGCCGAACCG